rnacentral:snoRNA from 1 species
CUUCUGUAGGUAUGCUUGAGCACGUGUAUCUCUGUGUAUGCGGCGCCUGCUGCCGAGCGCUGCCCCUCUAGAUCCCUGCUUUCGCUGCCCGCAGCACGG